rnacentral:rRNA from 1 species
AACGAACGCUGGCGGCAUGCCUAACACAUGCAAGUCGAACGGGCAGGGGCAACCCUGUCAGUGGCGGACGGGUGAGUAACGCGUGGGAACCUGCCUCGAAGUCCGGAAUAACCGCGGGAAACUGCGGCUAAUACCGGAUGUGGCCCGAGGGCCAAAGGGGAAACUCGCUUCGAGAGGGGCCCGCGUCCGAUUAGCUAGUUGGUGAGGUAACGGCUCACCAAGGCGACGAUCGGUAGCUGGUCUGAGAGGAUGAUCAGCCACACUGGGACUGCGACACGGCCCAGACUCCUACGGGAGGCAGCAGUGGGGAAUAUUGGACAAUGGGUGCAACCCUGAUCCAGCAAUGCCGCGUGAGUGAUGAAGGCCUUCGGGUUGUAAACUGCUUUUGUACGGAACGAAAAGCCCUGGGUUAAUACCCUGGGGUCAUGACGGUACCGUAAGAAUAAGCACCGGCUAAC